ACUCGCCCUACACUCCUGCAGUUUUAAACAAUCUAGGCAAUAUAACAGCCAGCUCUUCUAAAGAUCACUGCCUUCAUAAGCACAUUGUAAAUCAUAAAUUAUUGUAAUUUAUGAAAUGCAGUAGAACAGUGAAACUAUGUUUGCCUUCCCAAACAUCCAUCAGGAAGAAUAUUGGUAAUUAGUUUGUAUUCAAUUUGUAAUUUGAUUGUUUAAACUGGCGCUUUGUUCAACGUUUGUUUUUUGUUCUGUUUUGUUAACUACCACUUUGCAAAUAUUUUAUUCUAGAAUCACAGCCCAUCAUGUUCUAAAACAAAUUGAAUUGCCAAGAAAUACACCUCGGUUUUAGUCUGUUCAGGCUGCUAUAACAAAAUACCACAAACUGCAUGGUGGCUUAUAAACAACAAAAUUCAUUUCUCACAGUUCUGGAGGCCAGAGAGUCCAAGAGCAGAGAACCAGCAGAUUCAGUGUCUGGUGAGGACCCGUUUCCUGGUUCAUAGAUGGCGUCUUCUCCCUGUGUCCUCACAUGGUGGAAGGAGCAAGGCAGCUAUCUGGGGUCUCUUUUAUAAGGCAGUAGUCCCAUUUUCAAGGGCAGAGUCCUCAUGACCUAACCACCCCCCAAAAGGGCUUACCUCUUGUCAUUAAGUCUGACAUGUGAUCUACUAUUAAGCUAUCUUCCACCAUCAUACAGAUUAUAUUCAUUAAAUUAAAACCUUUUUUUGGUUCAGCACACUUAAGUUCAAACAUAAUAGUCAAUACUGUGAUUACUGAAUCAGAUAACAGUUUUCCAAUAUUGAAAAAAGUAUUUCCUCAGUUUUGUGUGCUAAUCACAAUGUAAUAGCUACUAAAAAAACAUGCUUUUAAGUUUAAUUUGCAUUUUUAACAUUUACUCAUCACUUUUUAAAGUCUAGAUGAAGGGUAUAGAAACAUUUUCUAUAAUGGGCCAAACAGUGAAUAUUUUAGGCUUUGUGGGUCUAACAUCUCUGUUAAAACUACUCUGCCAUGGUAGCAUAAAACUAGUCACAAACAGUACAUAAGUAAAUGGACAUGGCUGUGUUCCAGGGAAACUUUAUUUAUAACAACACAUAGCAAGCAUGCCCUCUUUUACUGAAUCCUGAUUUAGAUAAUCAACAAAACAAUAAAUCAAGCUGUGCUGCUUGCCAAUUUCCCUCAUGUAAAUACUCCCACCAUUAUCAAAUUUAAGUUUCAACACGAAGUUACCGAAAGUAGAGUUAGAAAGAAAUGCAUAGUUGCAUGCCAUUUUUAGCAUUCCUACCAUUAAUACAAAUAGACAUAAAUAACCUCAAUGGCACAGAUAAUAGUAAAAAUGUAGUUAAAUAAUUAGGGAGUGAUAAAUUUUGAGUAUUUAUUACUUUGUAAAAAACAAAAUUUUAGGUCAGGCAGUCUAGCUCACACCUGUAAUCCCA
rnacentral:lncRNA from 1 species